AACAAUGGCCGCUGCCAAUGUCCCAGUCCCUGGAGAGGUCUCACCUCUCACCAAGAUGCACUCAGAGCCUAUCAGAUUUGGAGAUCUCAUUGUCUUUCAGAGUAUGGAGAUUUGCUGACCAGGGAAGCAGGGUGGCCAGUGGCACUCACAGGAAUUCUGCCCCUUGUGGUAAGAUUGCUGACCCUUUGACUGGUCAUCAGAUAAUGGAGUUGGGGGUGAAGCCCAUCUAGGGUGAUUUCAGAAGCCGAGGAAGCCUCAAGCUGCUCUCAUCCACUGCUUAUGCAUGAUGUCACAUACAACUGAAAGUUAAAUUUUAUGAUUUAGGUACCACUAGAAAAUGAACUUCAUAAUUCAUCAAUCAACAACCAAUAUUAUUGAAUGCUUGCUAUAAACAAGAUCAUGGACCAAGUGCUGUGAGUGCUACAAAAACAGAUAAGACAAUGACCUGAUCAGAUUUGCAAUGUAAUAAGAUCAUUUUAGCUGGAUUGCAGAAAAAAGAUCCUGGCUGGGAGGCAGAAAGGAUUAAUAGUUAGCGUAUUGGUUUAGUUGUUUUAACAGAGGCCCAAUAACUGUGGCUUCCACAAGAAAGAAUAUUUAUUUCUCUCUCACAUAAAAUUUUGAGGUGGAAAACAGUCCAGGAGGAUAGGGUUCCUUUUAUCUUGAGCCUCCCUCAUCCCCUUCUAUGCUGUUUUGACCUGCAAGUUUCAACCUGAGUCCCCAUCGUCUCAUUACAAUCCAGACUACAGAGAAGGAAGAAAAGGAUGACAAGCAUGUCUAUUUUAAGGAUGUGGUUCAGAAGGUGCGCGUGUCACUUCCUUUACAGGGUAGUGACCAGAACUUACUUGGCGAGGUGACAUUAGAGCUUGGUCGUAUGGAGCAGCCAGGGAGGUUGAGAGAUGCGGUCUCUAGCUGGGGGGCACGGUGCUUGGUUCUCUUACCAAGAGGAAGAAGGGAGUAUAGAUAUUGCGUAUAAUUUGCAGUCUCUGCGAUAGGGGACAAGACUGGAGGCAAAGAGAUCAAUUAAGAGACUAUUAAAGUGAUAAUAGUGGCCUGAAGCACGCUAGUGUCCACAAUAAUAAUAAGGAUUGAAAGAGUAUUUGGAGGGAAGAAUUAAUAGGACUUUGGAAUUUACUGAAUUUGAGGAAUUAAAGACCAUAAGGAGUAAGUAAGUAAUUCAUUCCUUAGGUGUGCAUCGAGUCCCUACCAUGUGCCAAGCAUUGCCCGAGGUGCUAGAUAUACAGUGGUGAAUAAAUAGAUACUAUUCUUGCUUUAAGGAACUUAAAGACUAGGGUGUCAUGUCCAGAUAUCUAUUGAAGCAGAUUGUACUGCUAUCUAUUGAGAUAGGGAAGACGGAAGAAAGACCAAGUUUGGGGGAAAGUGUACAUGAUAAUCAUAAUAAACUUGAGGUGCCUGUGGGACAGCCAAUUUGUAAUAUUCAGGAAAUGGUUGAAUAUGUGAGUCUGAAUCUCAGGAGGAAAAUUGGAGCUUGAGAUAGCUAUGCACUGGGGACCAUAAGCACAGGUGGUAAUUUGCAGCCACCUGAGUAGUAAGAUUGCCCAAAUAGAGUGUAGAGAGAAAGAAGAGAAGAGGCC